GUGUUCUGAAGAACCAAUCAGAGGAUGCCAGGGAUGCAAAACAUGUUCGCGAGAGCUGUGCAGGAAUGGAUAGACCGGAUUUCGUCAAGUGCACAAUGCAUGGUAGUUCGAAUGGUUGAGAAUGAGAAAGAUGAAUCCAAUGAUGUGGAUUUCUUCUCCAAAGUUCAAUAGUUUGGAACUAAUUGAGAUUGCUAUAAAUAGAUAAGUGAUUUCAAAGAAUACAUAAAACAGAACCCUAGG
rnacentral:lncRNA from 1 species